ACCAGCCGGCACUCACGCCUAACUACACAGCUGUUUCGGUGGUAUCGUGGGAGGUGUUUGUGUUGUGCCACCGCGACACAGGCAGAGGCGCGGACACCGCACGCACUCCACCUCACCCUCACUCACGCAAGCACGCACGUUCGUCAGGAGUCUUGCUCUACCCCUCCCUCGCUUCAUCUCUCGCGCCGGCGCAGGAAAGGAAGCGUAUAGGCACACGCACGCACACAACGACACGCCCGACGUCGUCCACUCCCGUUUUUGAGAGACGACGAGGUUUCGCUUCGGGUGGUCAUCAAAUUUGUCUGGGGAGAGGAGGAGAGCGGUUUGCUCAAACACGACGGCGCAACCGCCACCCACUCACCACCGACACCACCCUUCCCUUGCUCGCUCCGUAGCUCUCCUGUGUUCAGCCCUCUUCUCUCCUUCCACACCACGAUCACUUCACAUGCUGGUAUCGGUCGCGCAGUGGUGCGUCCCCUGCUGCCUGCGUUCCACCUCUCCUGUGUUUGGGCAUUACAACGCCGGGUCGACGUGCGUGACAGCUGUGCGGUCGCAUUAUCUCCCCCCCCCUCUCUCUCCCUUUCUGCACUGAAGGGUGCGCGCUUGAUCGCCUUGCCUUCUCUUUGUGUGCGUGUGCGUGAGCCGCCGAGAUCGAACAGUUUUUUUUUUUUGGUCGAGAGGGCGGGCGGGGCGGGUCUGUGUGAGGGACGGAACGGACACGGACGGCGCUCAUCGCCCUCUCCGCUCUCUUCAUUGACAGCACCGUCGGCGUCUCUCUUUGUUGAGGAUGCUGCGCAGUGUCUCGUUGGCGCCGCAGCAGCGGGCGGCUAAGGACCUGCAAGACCUCCCCACCGAGCUGAAGAACUCUCUCCUCGGUGUGCCACUCUUCCAUGUUCCUACAGGCUACGGGUCGACCGGCGGCAGCGGCGCCAACUCGGCGCAGGUAUCGUCGCCGCUUCUGUCGGGUGAGGUGUUGCAAGCGCAGAACCUCUUUUCGAGAGGGCCUUCCCCGUCCUCGCUCAUGUCGCGAGUGUUUCGCUCGGCGAAGCCCCGCUACAGCACCGGCCUCACGGGGCAGGUGCCGGUCUUUGACUACAACGGCAGACUCACAACGCGCCAGGUCGGCGUCCACACCUUUCGUUUUCGCAGUCUGUCCCUCUUCUACUUUCUUCGCUCGCAGCCGUGGACGGUGCUGAUCACGUACUCCGUCGUCCUCUACCUCAUCAUUGUGCUGCUCAUCACAGCCGCCUACUACGCGUGGGGGGUGGAGUGCGGGGCGGCGAUGAACGCGGUGUCUGCCAUCUACUUCACGGUCGUGAGUCUGGCGGCGAACGGCGGGUACAUGGGCGAGGACGGAGACACGAUGACCGACGCCACUCACAUGUGCUACCGCGGUCGCACCGCAAUCGUGAUGGUGUGCUCAUACGUGAACAUCCUGUUUGUCGGCCUCGUCGCAGCCCUCGUGGUCAGCAAGGCCGAGUACACGGGCAAGCUCGGCCACCGCGUCGUCUUCAGCGACUUCUGCACACUGGCAACCGUCCCGGGCCGGGUGGAUCAGUGGCGGCUGGUGUUUCGAGUAGCCAACGUGGACAACCACAUUCCACUGGCUCGCGGCAAGCUGCGCCUGUUCUGCGUUACGGCAGAGCCCCUCAAAGAGUGCCACAUACAUCAGCAGCAGCUUCAGGCGCUCCGGCACUCGCGUUCCGUGAAAAAACUCGCGGGAUCGACGUGGAGCGGCACUCAUCAGCUCUUGCCAGGGGUGGAGUUCGACGGAGGGGGCGGCGGGCGGCAGCCGCAGCGGACAGCGCCGCCGCCGGCGGAGGCAGAUGAGAAUCUUCACACUGCCAAGGCAAAGAAACGACACGCGAAGGCCCAUAGUCGUCUACGCAGCGCGCCGGCCCCGCCGGCGCCACACGACUCCGCUGAUAGCGGCAGCAGAGAGGAUAGAAGCGGGUUGACCCGGGCGCAGCGGCACCACCAGCGGCGAAAGCAGCGGGAUCGACAGCUGCACAAGAGCGGCAGUGGUGGCCAUACAGACGAGGCAGACAGUCCACGACGCCAUCGCGGGCAGCGCAGUGAAGGCUCUCUCAAUCCCCAGAAAAGUCACGGCAUGCCGUCCACAGAAAGCAGGGGGCACCGGAGCGCCUCGAGCGGCCCCAGCAGGUCGUCGUCGACUGCGUCGUCUGGCUCUGACGAUUCCACGCUGAGCACCUCCGCUGCCUCGUCCCGCUUCCUGUCGGCCUCGUCGUCUGCGAAAGCCACCUCCUCCACGCGCACAAGACGCAAGGCGGUCAGCAGAGCGAAGGCACCGUCGCCGAAGUCGCAAAGCAGCUCAGCGGCGGACAACGCGGACGUGGACAAGGCGAACUCGUCCGUGAGCAGCCAGGAGGGCAGCUGCCUCUACGCAGCCUCCCCGUUCACGGAGGUAGGAAAUGAGCCCAGCGUCGCCUUUGCCGGCAAGCGAUCUCCGUUCCCCACUGGCAUUCCUGAGCCCGCUGUCUCGGUCCCCAUUCUAAGCCGCUCUCCCAACGAAGAUGCCGGCAAGACGAUGGAGCGGGUGCAUCUGUGCGUUCAUGAGAUGCGCUGGACCUGCGCCGGGGAGACUUACCUCGACCGCGGUGAACGCGGGCAGCUCUCUCUGUGGUAUCCGGCCGACAUCAUUCACAUCAUCGACGAGCGCAGUCCGCUGCGCCCCUUCCUGGAGCUGCCACACGUCGCGGCGUCGCUCGGUAGCGGCGGCGCCUCUGCCGACGCUCUGUCCGGAUUCCCGUCUCGCGCGGACCUGGUGCGGCAACACUUCCAGAUUGUGGCCGUCUUUGAUGCGACCGAGAUGGAGACCGGCUCGGCCAUUACAACGAAGCGCACCUACACAAAUGAGGACAUUGUAGCCCACUACAAGUUCUCUGACCGCCUGGUGCACGUGCACCCGGAGAGCAGCGAGGUGUUGCUGGACUUCCACUACUUCAACGCCUUGCUGCCGGUGAACCUCGUCGAGCCCUCCACGACGGAGUCGGACAUGUAAGGAAAGGCAACAAGGCCUUCUAGUUGCUGGCAGAGUAAUGGAAACAGAGAAUGGCGAGAUGCCAUGCACGCACACAAGCGCGGGGGCGCAUGCGAAUGUGUCCGCAUCGUCUCUGCAGACGUGUGCGUCCGUGUGUGUGUGUGUGUGUGUGUGUGCUGCAGUGACGUUGCGGGUACGUGAUCACCUCUGCCUUUGGUCUCUUCUUCAGCCUCCUCGUGAUGGGUGUUGGCGGUCGUGGCAUCCGCCACACGGGCACACACACCCCAAACCCACCCACCCACACACACACGUAUGCCAAUGCUAGUGACAAGAAGAGAGGAAGCUAUCGAUGAGAGCGCAGCGGCGAAGGCAAAUUAUAGCGGCCGAAGAUUGCGGCGGACCCAUCAUGGUCGAGCGUCUCUCACCGUCUCCUCUUAUAUAUCUCUUGCAUGUUUGUACGUGCACAUCUAAGAUUCGAUGGAAGGGCACGAGAAACAGACAGAGAGGGAGGUGGGGUAGGGUGGUGACUACAUGCAGUGAUGGUUGGCGUGUCCUUUGCCCUUUCUAUGGGAAGGGGGUGUCUCGGCGUCCCCAAACUCCCAAACUCCCAGCCCCCCCCCUCCGCAUUCGCCCUGCAUCUACCGUUAUCGUCUGCCCUAUCCCCCCCCCUCCUUCCCUCCCUCCCCCCUCUCUAUGUGUGUGUGGGUGUGUCUUCUCUCGCGCCCAUAUGUACCACCACGAUCUCUUAG
rnacentral:misc_RNA from 1 species